rnacentral:sRNA from 1 species
AAUUGGGUGCAAAAUGGUAUAAUCAUUA